rnacentral:rRNA from 1 species
GUAGUCUGCAACUCGACUACAUGAAGCCGGAAUCGCUAGUAAUCGCGGAUCAGAAUGCCGCGGUGAAUACGUUCCCGGGUCUUGUACACACCGCCCGUCACACCAUGGGAGCCGGAAAUGCCCGAAGUCAGUGACCCAACCGCGAGGAGGGAGCUGCCGAAGGCAGGUCUGGUAACUGGGGUGAAGUCGUAACAAGGUAAC